rnacentral:misc_RNA from 1 species
CGCACCUUGCGCUCCUUGGUAUUCCGAGGAGCACACCUGUUCGAGUAUCGUGAAAUUCUCAAGCUGGAUGGCUUUAUUGCUGUCUCAGUUUGGUUUUGGGCUCUGCCGUCUCCUCCUUUGGAAUGGCUGGCCUUAAAAGUAUUAGCUGACCCUCGUUUGUGGGAUUGGUUCUACUCAGCGUGAUAAUCUUAUGACCGCUGAGGACAUCUUUCGGGAUGGCCAGUGCUACCUUGGAUCGCUUCUAAUCCUGGCGCUUGGAGUUCGUUUCCGAGUCCAUCAUUCUCAACUUUGAUCUCGAAUCAGGUGGGACUACCCGCUGAACUUAA